rnacentral:rRNA from 1 species
AACGAACGCUGGCGGCGUGCCUAACACAUGCAAGUCGAACGAUGCCUUCGGGCAUAGUGGCGCACGGGUGCGUAACGCGUGGGAAUCUGCCCUUGGGUUCGGAAUAACUCAGAGAAAUUUGAGCUAAUACCGGAUGAUGACGUAAGUCCAAAGAUUUAUCGCCCAAGGAUGAGCCCGCGUAAGAUUAGCUAGUUGGUGGGGUAAAGGCCUACCAAGGCGACGAUCUUUAGCUGGUCUGAGAGGAUGAUCAGCCACACUGGGACUGAGACACGGCCCAGACUCCUACGGGAGGCAGCAGUGGGGAAUAUUGGACAAUGGGCGAAAGCCUGAUCCAGCAAUGCCGCGUGAGUGAUGAAGGCCUUAGGGUUGUAAAGCUCUUUUACCAGGGAUGAUAAUGACAGUACCUGGAGAAUAAGCUCCGGCUAACUCCGUGCCAGCCGCCGCGGUAAAAC